rnacentral:rRNA from 1 species
GGCUACAGAACGAACGCUGGCGGACAGGCCUAACACAUGCAAGUCGAAGCCCUAGCAAUAGGGAGUGGCAGACGGGUGAGUAACACGUGGGAACCUUCCCUAUAGUACGGAAUAGCUCAGGGAAACUUGAAGUAAUACCGUAUACGCCCGAGAGGGGAAAGAUUUAUCGCUAUAGGAUGGGCCCCGCGUCGGAUUAGCUAGUUGGUGAGGUAAUGGCUCACCAAGGCGACGAUCCGUAGCUGGUUUGAGAGAACGACCAGCCACACUGGGACUGAGACACGGCCCAGACUCCUACGGGAGGCAGCAGUGGGGAAUAUUGGACAAUGGGCGCAAGCCUGAUCCAGCCCAUGCCGCGUGAGUGAUGAAGGCCUUAGGGUUGUAAAGCUCUUUUAGCAGGGAAGAUAAUGACUGUACCUGCAGAAUAAGCUCCGGCUAACUUCGUG